AUACGGAGGAUCCAAGCGUUAUCCGGAAUCAUUGGGUUUAAAGGGUUCGUAGGCGGGUUUAUAAGUCAGUGGUGAAAGUUUGCGGCUCAACCGUAAAAUUGCCAUUGAUACUGUAGAUCUUGAAUUAGUGUGAAGUGAUUAGAAUAAGUAGUGUAGCGGUGAAAUGCAUAGAUAUUACUUAGAAUACCAAUUGCGAAGGCAGGUCACUAACACUAUAUUGACGCUGAGGGACGAAAGCGUGGGGAGCGAACAGGAUUAGAAACCCCAGUAGUCC
rnacentral:rRNA from 1 species